CGUUGCUGUUAUUCGUUCACCGUUGGCUAAACUCAGAGCACUCGUGCAGUUUGGCAACUCAUGAACGAAUGACGGCUCCGG
rnacentral:pre_miRNA from 1 species